rnacentral:rRNA from 1 species
CUCUCCAAUUGUUUUAUGCUUGCAUAAAUGAUUUUUGGAUUCGGAGCGAGUGGCGAACUGGUGAGUAACACGUGGGUAACCUGCCCCGAAGCGGGGGAUAACAUUUGGAAACAAGUGCUAAUACCGCAUAAUUAGUUGGAACCGCAUGGUUCCAACUUGAAAGAUGGCUCUGCUAUCACUUUGGGAUGGACCCGCGCCGUAUUAGUUAGUUGGUGAGAUAAAAGCCCACCAAGACGAUGAUACGUAGCCGACCUGAGAGGGUAAUCGGCCACAUUGGGACUGAGACACGGCCCAGACUCCUACGGGAGGCAGCAGUAGGGAAUCUUCCACAAUGGACGAAAGUCUGAUGGAGCAACGCCGCGUGAGUGAUGAAGGUUUUCGGAUCGUAAAACUCUGUUGUUAAAGAAGAACAAGUGUUAGAGUAACUGUUAACACUUUGACGGUAUUUAACCAGAAAGCCACGGCUAACUACGUGCCAGCAGCCGCGGUAAUACGUAGGUGGCAAGCGUUGUCCGGAUUUAUUGGGCGUAAAGCGAGCGCAGGCGGUUUUGUAAGUCUGCUGUGAAAGCCCUCAGCUCAACUGAGGAAGUGCAGUGGAAACUACAAAACUUGAGUACAGAAGAGGAAAGUGGAACUCCAUGUGUAGCGGUGAAAUGCGUAGAUAUAUGGAAGAACACCAGUGGCGAAGGCGGCUUUCUGGUCUGUUACUGACGCUGAGGCUCGAAAGCAUGGGUAGCGAACAGGAUUAGAUACCCUGGUAGUCCAUGCCGUAAACGAUGAAUACUAGGUGUUGGAGGGUUUCCGCCCUUCAGUGCCGCAGCUAACGCAUUAAGUAUUCCGCCUGGGGAGUACGACCGCAAGGUUGAAACUCAAAGGAAUUGACGGGGGCCCGCACAAGUGGUGGAGCAUGUGGUUUAAUUCGAUGCUACGCGAAGAACCUUACCAGCUCUUGACAUCUUUCUGCCAACCCAAGAGAUUGGGCGUUUCCCUUCGGGGACAGAUGACAGUGGUGCAUGGGUUGUCGUCAGCUCGUGUCG